UACAGAGGUGCCAAGCGUUAGGCGGAAUCACUGGGUUUAAAGCGCGCGUAGGCGGAUGUUUAAGUGUCUUGUGAAAUCCCACGGCUCAACCGUGGAACUGCUGGGCAUACUGGACAUCUCGAGGCACUCAGGGGCGAGCGGAACAAGUGGUGGAGCGGUGAAAUGCGUAGAUAUCACUUGGAACGCCAAUGGUGAAGACAGCUCGCUGGGGGUGUCCUGACGCUGAGGCGCGAAAGCCAGGGGAGCGAACGGG
rnacentral:rRNA from 1 species